rnacentral:snRNA from 1 species
GUGCUCACUUCAGCAACACAUAUACUAAAAUUGGAAUGAUACAGAGAAGAUAAGCAUGGCCCCUGCAAAAGGAUGACAUGCAAAUGCCUGAAUUGUUCCAUAUUUUA